rnacentral:tRNA from 1 species
UCUAAUAUGGCAGAAUAGUGCAAUGAAUUUAAGCUUCAUAUAUAAAGAAAUAUAUCUUUUAUUAGAA